AGCAGGAAAGGGGCACUGCUAGACUUGGAAUCCAUCUUAAAGGACCCCCAUGCCUCGUCACAAAAGUUCUACAUAAUCAGGAUAUUUUACCUGCGAGAGAUGGGUGAAGGCCAGUCUUAAGUUCCCCAGGAAUACAGAAGAAGCUGAGCUUGAACCUGAUUCCAAGCAGUCCAGACAUGGUGCUACCCCUGUAUGAUGCAGAGUAUGUGCUUCUGGAUUUUCUCCUCUGAUGAGAUGACCUAUAUUUUGUUAUGGAAACACGGUUGUACACCCUAAGGCUACUAAGAAGUACUCUCCACGUCAAAAGGAAGCAGUCAACUUCAAAUCAAGUCAAUUAAAAAAAAAAAAGUUUAAAGCAGUCUCAUUCCCCUCUCCCACAGACCUCUGCCAAGUUGUGUGCUUUCACAAUUAUAUUUUCCUUUUUUAAAAAAAUGAGAGAAAAUUCUCUCUCCUCUGUUGCUGUGUGAAAGACCCAAACAAACAGAGGAAGCAGUGAAAUCCACUGUAUACAAAGUGCUGUCAAGUCACAUUGUAAAUAAAAAAAUUAUAUGCAAUUAUUUCUCUCUAAUCUCUUUCAGUUAUAGUCAUUUAAAUAGUUACUUGUAAAGGAAGUAGGUAGAAU